GCCAGGUAUGGUGGUGCACACCUGUAGUCCCAGCUACUUGGGAGGCUGAGGUGGGAGGAUCACUUGAGGCUGGGGGGGACUGAGGCUGCAGUGAGCUGUGAUUGUGCCACUGUACUCCAGCCUGGUUGACAGAGUGAGACCCUGUCUCCA
rnacentral:SRP_RNA from 1 species